CGAGAAUGAUGACAUGAGUAGCGACAAAGAGUGUGAGAGACACUCUCGCCGAAAGUCCAAGGGUUCCUGCUUAAAGCUAAUCUGAGCAGGGUAAGCCGGCCCCUAAGCCGAGGCCGAAAGGCGUAGGCGAUGGGAACCACGUUAAUAUUCGUGGGCCAGAUGGAAGUGACGGAUUGUGAAGGUUGUUCCUCCUUAUCGGAUUGGAGGGGCCGCUGAUCAGUUCCUGGAAAUAGCUCCAUCAUCAGACCGUACCCUAAACCGACACAGGUGGACUGGUAGAGCAUACCAAGGCGCUUGAGAGAACGAUGUUGAAGGAACUCGGCAAAAUACCUCCGUAAGUUCGCGAGAAGGAGGCCCGGUUCCUAGGCAACUAGGGGCUGGGGGCACAAACCAGGGGGUGGCGACUGUUUAUUAAAAACACAGGGCUCUGCGAAGUCGCAAGACGACGUAUAGGGUCUGACGCCUGCCCGGUGCCUGAAGGUUAAAAGGAGGGGUGAGAGCUCUGAAUUGAAGCCCAGGUAAACGGCGGCCGUAACAAUAACGGUCCUAAGGU
rnacentral:rRNA from 1 species